AACAUCGCGCACCUGCGGGAACCUGCGGAGGGAUCAUUACAGAGUUCAUGCCCUCACGGGUAGAUCUCCCACCCUUGAAUACUAUACCUUUGUUGCUUUGGCGGGCCGCUUUGGCUACUGGCUCUGGCUAGUAAGUGCCCGCCAAAGAACCCCAAAACUCUGAAUAUUAGUGUCGUCUGAGUACUAUAUAAUAGUUAAAACUUUCAACAACGGAUCU
rnacentral:misc_RNA from 1 species